UUGAAGGGUUUGAUCCUGGCUCAGAAUGAACGGUGGCGGCGUGCUUAUUCCAUGCAAGUCGAGCGAGAACUGAUUUCGGUCAGGGAGAGCGGCGAAAGGGUGAGUAAUGAAUAGGUAAUCUACCGUCAAGAGGGGGAUAACAGUUCGAAAGGGCUGGUAAUACCGCGUAAAGUUAACACUUCACAAGGAGAGUUAAUGAAAGCAGGGGAUCUUCGGACCUUGCACUUGAUGAGGAGCCUAUUUCCUAUUAGCUAGUUGGUAGUGUAAGGGACUACCAAGGCAACGAUGGGUAGCCGGCCUGAGAGGGUGAACGGCCACACGGGCACUGAGACACGGGCCCGACUCCUACGGGAGGCAGCAGGAAGGAAUAUUGGGCAAUGGGCGCAAGCCUGACCCAGCGACGCCGCGUGGGGGAUGAAGGUUUUCGGAUUGUAAACCCCUGUCGCGUAUUAAGAAGGCCUUAUGUGCUAAUAUCAUAUAGGGAUUGACAAAGGUACGGGAUGAAGUCAUGGCUAACUCUGUGCCAGCAGCCGCGGUAAUACAGAGAUGGCAACCGUUAUUCGGAAUCACUGGGCUUAAAGCGCACGCAGGCGGAAUUAUAAGCUGGUUGUGAAAUCCCAUGGCUUACCCAUGGAACGGCAUCCAGAACUGUAAAUCUUGAGGUCAGGAGGGGAGAGUGGAACUCAUAGUGGAGCGGUGAAAUGCGUUGAUAUUAUGAGGAACGCCGGAGGCGAAAGCGACUCUCUGGACUGAAUCUGACGCUGAGGUGCGAAAGCUAGGGGAGCAAACGGGAUUAGAUACCCCGGUAGUCCUAGCCGUAAACGAUGGGUACUAAGUGGAGGGCCUUUUAUUGGUUCUCCGCCGGAGCGAAAGCAUUAAGUACCCCGCCUGGGGAGUAUGGUCGCAAGGCUGAAACUCAAAGGAAUUGACGGGGGCUCGCACAAGCGGUGGAGCAUGUGGUUUAAUUCGAAGCAACGCGAAGAACCUUACCUGGACUUGACAUGUUAGGAUUAUGUAGGUGAAAGUCUGCAGACGCUCUUCGGAGUGGAACUAAUACAGGUGUUGCAUGGCUGUCGUCAGCUCGUGCCGUGAGGUGUUGGGUUAAGUCCCAUAACGAGCGAAACCUUUAUCCUUAGUUGCCAGCGAGUAAUGUCGGGGACUCUAGGGAGACUGCCCACGUUAAGUGGGAGGAAGGUGGAGACGACGUCAAGUCAUCAUGGCCCUUAUGUCCAGGGCUACACACGUGCUACAAUGGGCGAUACAAAGGGUAGCGAAGUCGAGAGGCGGAGCUAAUCUCAAAAAGUCGUUCCCAGUUCGGAUUGAGGGCUGAAAUUCGCCCUCAUGAAGUUGGAAUCGCUAGUAAUCGUGGGUCAGCAAUACCACGGUGAAUGUGUUCCCGAGCCUUGUACACACCGCCCGUCAAGCCACUGAAGUGGGGGUAGCCUGAAGUCACUGACCCAACUCUUAGGAGAGGGAGGUGCCCAAGGAAGCUUCCAUGACAGGGACUAAGUCGUAACAAGGUAGCCGUAGGGGAACCUGUGGCUGGAUCACCUCCUUU
rnacentral:rRNA from 1 species